GACAUUGUUCUUUCAUCACAGAAAACAAAGAGGAGGAAAUUGCAAGGACCCUGGAAGCCAAGUUGAAUACGAGCCUCCGGCAGCUCUCGCGAAGAAUUCGAACUCUUCAAGAAGAUGUAGAGGAAUGGCCAGAGGCCAUAAAGGAUGAGCUUCAGCUUUUCAGAGCAGAACUGGAGAUGAAGACAGGAAACAAAGAGGAGGAAAUUGCAACGGCCCUGGAAGCUGUGUUGAAGAAGAUCCUCUGUCAGCUCUUCCAAGGAAUUCAAAGUGGGGAAGAUGUAAACAUUGCCAUAUAUCAUGAAACUCUGCUUGCCAUUGCAUAGCUGGAGAAGAACCCAGAUCUUCAGGGCCAUGCUGAGGAUCCCCGCUGAUCAGGGACAGCACAAAGCCUUUUCCACCUGCCUUCCUCACCUGGCUGUGGUCUCCAUGUUCCUCAGCACUAUCAUUUUUGCUCAUCU